rnacentral:ncRNA from 1 species
UCCAUGGUGACGUGGAAUCGGAAGGAAGCUCGAGGCAAACCUCUGGUCUGACGGACAGAAAUCAUAUAAGAGGCAACGUAUGUGGAUAAGGGUGCCAAAGAAUCUGAAGUCCAUAGCUACUAAAACAUACGGUGUAAAUAUGGCAGAUAGAUGGAGGAAAAGAGUUCGUAC